rnacentral:tRNA from 1 species
AAGAAUUUUAUGUAAAAUUUUGAAAAUUUUACUUGAGUUUUUCUCGUUUCUUU